AAUUUUUAUAAAAUAAAUAUUCUACAAUGGCGGACUUCGGGUCUAGUUCAGUAAUCUCCCGACAGAUCGACUUGACCUUGUGGAAGUACUGAGCAAUCGUCAUGUCACGUUGUGAAAUUGACAACAACUCAUUCUU